AGACCCGAAACCCGGUGAUCUAGCCAUGGGCAGGUUGAAGGUUGGGUAACACUAACUGGAGGACCGAACCGACUAAUGUUGAAAAAUUAGCGGAUGACCUGUGGCUGGGGGUGAAAGGCCAAUCAAACCGGGAGAUAGCUGGUUCUCCCCGAAAGCUAUUUAGGUAGCGCCUCGUGAAUUCAUCUCCGGGGGUAGAGCACUGUUUCGGCUAGGGGGCCAUCCCGGCUUACCAACCCGAUGCAAACUGCGAAUACCGGAGAAUGUUAUCACGGGAGACACACGGCGGGUGCUAACGUCCGUCGUGAAGAGGGAAACAACCCAGACCGCCAGCUAAGGUCCCAAAGUCAUGGUUAAGUGGGAAACGAUGUGGGAAGGCCCAGACAGCCAGGAUGUUGGCUUAGAAGCAGCCAUCAUUUAAAGAAAGCGUAAUAGCUCACUGGUCGAGUCGGCCUGCGCGGAAGAUGUAACGGGGCUAAACCAUGCACCGAAGCUGCGGCAGCGACGCUGAUGCGUUGUUGGGUAGGGGAGCGUUCUGUAAGCCUGCGAAGGUGGCCUGUGAGGGUUGCUGGAGGUAUCAGAAGUGCGAAUGCUGACAUAAGUAACGAUAAAGCGGGUGAAAAGCCCGCUCGCCGGAAGACCAAGGGUUCCUGUCCAACGUUAAUCGGGGCAGGGUGAGUCGACCCCUAAGGCGAGGCCGAAAGGCGUAGUCGAUGGGAAACGGGUUAAUAUUCCCGUACUUGGUGUUACUGCGAAGGGGGGACGGAGAAGGCUAUGUUGGCCGGGCGACGGUUGUCCCGGUUUAAGCGUGUAGGCUGGUUUUCCAGGCAAAUCCGGAAAAUCA
rnacentral:rRNA from 1 species